UACGUAGGGGGCAAGCGUUGUCCGGAAUCAUUGGGCGUAAAGCGCGCGUAGGCGGCCAGAUUAGUCCGGUGUGAAAGUCAGAGGCUCAACCUUUGAAUGCCGCUGGAAACUGUCUGGCUUGAGUCCGGAAGGGGCGAGUGGAAUUCCUGGUGUAGCGGUGAAAUGCGCAGAUAUCAGGAGGAACACCAACGGCGAAGGCAGCUCGCUGGAACGGUACUGACGCUGAGGCGCGAAAGCGUGGGGAGCAAACAGG
rnacentral:rRNA from 1 species